rnacentral:rRNA from 1 species
UACAGAGGGUGCGAGCGUUAAUCGGAAUUACUGGGCGUAAAGGGCACGUAGGCGGUUCGAUAAGUCGGUUGUGAAAUCCCUGGGCUUAACCUGGGAAUGGCAAACGAUACUGUAGGACUAGAGUCGAAGAGAGGGAAGCGGAAUUUCCGGUGUAGCGGUGAAAUGCGUAGAUAUCGGAAGGAACACCCGUGGCGAAGGCGGCUUCCUGGCUUCAGACUGACGCUGAGGUGCGAAAGCGUGGGUAGCGAAC